rnacentral:rRNA from 1 species
GGAUUAGAAACCCCGGUAGUCCACGCCGUAAACGAUGGAUACUAGGUGUGGGCGGAGUCGAAUCUGUCCGUGCCGAAGCCAACGCGUUAGGUAUCCCGCCUGGGGAGUACGGCCGCAAGGCUAAAACUCAAAAGAAUUGACGGGGGCCCGCACAAGCAGCGGAGCAUGUUCUUUAAUUCGAUACAACGCGAAGAACCUUACCUGGACUUGACAUGGCACUGCAAGCGCACGGAAACGUGUGACCUUCGAGGUGUGCCACAGAUGCUGCAUGGCUGUCGUCAGCUCGUGUCGUGAGAUGUUGGGUUAAGUCCGCAACGAGCGCAACCCCUACCC